UUGUUCAACGGCCGCGGUAUCCUAACCGCGCGAAGGUAGCGUAAUCACUUGUUCUUUAAAUGAGGACUAGUAUGAACGGCUUCACGAAAGCUAUGCUGUCUCCUUUAUCCAAUCAGUAAAACUAAUCUCCCCGUGAAGAAGCGGGGGUGUACCUAUAAGACGAGAAGACCCUAUGGAGCUUUAAACACCUUAAAACAUUUGAGUACCAUAUUUUCAGGUUCUGCAAACUUCACUAAGCCCCUCAUUCUGCUUUAAGUUUUAGGUUGGGGUGACCCCGGAGAACAACCCACCCUCCACGUAGAAAGGACCUACCUUCUAAGCAAAAAGCCACAUCUUUAUGCAUCAACACAUUGACCUAAAUUGACCCAAUUAUUUGACCAACGAACCAAGUUACCCUAGGGAUAACAGCGCAAUCCGCCUUAAGAGCUCCUAUCGACAGGCGGGCUUACGACCUCGAUGUUGGAUCAGGGUAUCCUAGUGGUGCAGCAGCUACUGACGGUUCGUUUGUUCAACGAUU
rnacentral:rRNA from 1 species